rnacentral:rRNA from 1 species
AUGAACGCUGGCGGCGUGCCUCAUACAUGCAAGUCGAGCGAACAGACGAGGAGCUUGCUUCUCUGACGUUAGCGGCGGACGGGUGAGUAACACGUGGAUAACCUACCUAUAAGACUGGGAUAACUUCGGGAAACCGGAGCUAAUACCGGAUAAUAUAUUGAACCGCAUGGUUCAAUAGUGAAAGACGGUUUUGCUGUCACUUAUAGAUGGAUCCGCGCCGCAUUAGCUAGUUGGUAAGGUAACGGCUUACCAAGGCAACGAUGCGUAGCCGACCUGAGAGGGUGAUCGGCCACACUGGAACUGAGACACGGUCCAGACUCCUACGGGAGGCAGCAGUAGGGAAUCUUCCGCAAUGGGCGAAAGCCUGACGGAGCAACGCCGCGUGAGUGAUGAAGGUCUUCGGAUCGUAAAACUCUGUUAUUAGGGAAGAACAAAUGUGUAAGUAACUAUGCACGUCCUGACGGUACCUAAUCAGAAAGCCACGGCUAACUACGUG